rnacentral:snRNA from 2 species
AGUUGCGCCGUGGACACAAAGCGAACUAUUCUUUCGCCUUUUACUAAAGAAUACCGUGUGUCCGCUGCAAUAAGCAACAUACUCUGAUUUUUGGAGGGUUUCUUCUCUCUUGAGAGGAU